AGCCACCAGGGAAACUCAGUACCAGAGGUCAGACUUUGUUUUCAUGCUGAGCUUUCUUGUGGUCACCAGAUAGAUUCAAAAAGGAGUUGAGGUGUCAUACUUACUCAUUCUCCUCUAAGAGGAGGGGGAUAGGGUUUCACUGUCACGAUUAUUGAAUGGAGUUAUGAACGGACCAUCCUGCACAAGUUCUGUAGCCCAGGGAAUGUCGUACCAAUUUACUUUUGCCUGUGUUGAAGGCUAUCUCUGAACCACUGUCGUGAGAGUCAUGAGAUCCCCCUGAAUGGCUUAAACAUGUCAGGACUCAACGUCCAGAAGGGUCUGGGGUCUCACACACACCCAAAUGAGAAGACUGCGAAACAGUGAAGGAGGGUGGAGUGGUUUUGGAGGUAAAUCAUAAUAUUUUCUACUGAAUUUCAUAAGUAUCACUUAUUAUUAUAUAAUAACUGUGGACAGUAAUUUAAUGACAAUGACAAUAAGGCGUAUUCUGUUUGCUCAGAGAGCGAAUGACCAGCCCUAGCUUUGUUCCUGUAUGCCAGAGAGCACUAAUGUAGAACCUUUGCUGAUUUUUCUACUUGACUUCUGGAUCAUUUAGCAUAUUCUAGGCUUCAGUAUUUGUAUAACAUAGCACGAUCAUUGGGGAUAGUACAUGGGUUUCAGCUGGAAACCGCUCUGCCCCAGAAGCAGUUGCCUCUGUCACUCCAUGUAUUAUAAAUGUGUUUUUUUUAAAGCGUAAAGAUCGGCUCAAUUGUUGUGAUGGUUAUUUGCCUGUUUAUACACAGAACCUCUUCCAGCUCUUCUGUGAUCUGCUCAGGUUGCAGGGGUUCCUCUCCUGUCAUUUGCCUUGAGAGUCGGCUGCCAGCUAAGACCAGUCAGUGGAAAAAGCCAGGCGUUCCACCUGUUUCUCUCCACUCUGUGUAGGGUCUUCAGCGGCAGUUGUGUCUCGCCCGGGUUACUCUGGCUCCCUCCUGUCAGUCCUGGCCUUCUGCCUUGCUCCCCUAGCCCUGUGGUGUGUAGCAGCUUAGCUGCUGUUGCUGAUCUCCUGCUGGCUCCAUUCCCUGUUUGCCUUUUCAAAUCUUCCAACACCAUUGUAACUGGUGCCUCAUAUUCAAUUCUCUCUAUUGAAUUACCUGGGUUGGACUCUGUAUUAAUGCCCUGACCCCGACUAAUAAAAAUCAUUGAACUUCAAAAUACUGAAAUUCUAACUGACUAAUGACAUUUUUCUAGGAAUAAAUCCUAUUGUCUGUAAUGCUAAUGUCAUCUAUUUAUUUUUCCUAAAAAUAUAGAUUUCUUGGUGAAAAAAAGUUUUCUUUGAAACCUGUAAUUCCUAUGAUGAUUUAACUCCUUAACUUGAAAAAGGUAUGAGAUUUAUUAAAACCAAUUAUAAGCACAUUGUUUGAAAAAUACUGUGUUUCAACUCGUUUUGAUCAAACCCCAUUAUUGAGUCCUAUUUGAAAUACAGUUGCAGACAUCUGUGAUAUUGAAGCCUAGUUAUUGAGGUGGGAUGCUGUAUUCUUCUAAUGAAGGUUUGGAUGGUCUAUUGAAACACACUGGUAUUGAACAAAAAGCACUUUGGUAAACUGCACAAAAUACAGAACUUGACAGCCACCUGGAGCCCUUGGAGAAUCGAUCCUUUUUGAUAGCUGGAUUGUUUUUCAGAUGACUGAGAUUUUGCCCAUUUGUCUUCGUGAUGAAUUGUUUGGUCACAAGGAAGAGAAAUUCACUGGGGCUGGGUUAGGCCAAAAUAAGUAAAUAAGUGAAACGAUUGGAAAGACAGUAGGGGACUCAAUGAGAAGGCAGAAACCGCAGCUCAGUUGGUUGCAGAGGGAGUGGAGUUGGAACCUGCGGGCUGUCAGGGUCCUUCCUGUGUCUCACAGUUGGCUUCUCCGGAGGCUCUGCUGCAUCCCUUUCUCCGUGCUCCCAGCCCAGCUGGAGCCAUGUGUCCUUCAGGGCAAACGCACAAGUCCAGGGGUGUGCGCUCCUGGUCCUUUUCCUCCUCAGCAGGAAUGAUGGGAACAGCCGCCUUGGCCAGCAUGUCCACAGCACUGCCUGUGCGCCCAGGUCUUGUUUAAGAAAACACGAGCCCUUUCCUGUGAUGUGAAGUGUGUCUAUAAGGUUUGGAAUGUAACUUAGUCAUUUCUCAGUGUGACGUGGUGGUACUCACUGGCAGCAGUGUCUGCUCUGAUAGCAGAUGACUUUAGACGGCUGUAUGUAUAUGUUUGGUAGAUGUUUUAUGUAAGUGUUAAUUUAUUUUGGAUUUCCUCUUGGCAGAUGUCACUUGUCAUUGUUGAUUGGUAUUUGCAGUUUCUAUUUUGUUACUGCUGGGUUUGUUUGGUCUUAGAAACCAAGUAGCCUUUAUUAUAAUUGCAUGUAAAAUAGAGUUAAUUAAAUUUUAGCGAGAAGGUCUUUCUCCCAGCUGCGAAAACUCAUGGACCUCAGGGCAUGCACGUUUCUACAUCUGACCAGGUGUAAGAAGGGAAAUCAUUUGAUUAAGUAAAUGUGCUUAAUGCAUGUGGAAUCGCUUCCUGGAGGCCCCAGAAUCAUUGCAUUUUGAUGUUAAUUUCCUUAAUUCCAUUGUCAUGGUCUCUGUUUAAUCAAACACAUUAUGUUUGUGGUAGGCAGGGUUGUGGUGCUCAAAGAUGCCCAGUUCUAGUCCCCAGAAUAUGUUACCUUACAUGGCCAAGGAACGCUUCAAAUGGGAUUCAGGCGCUAGAACUUGUGAUGGGGGCAGGUUUUCAAGCUUUUGGCCAUCACAUGAGAAGACUUGGUAUCCAGCAGCUGCAAAUGAAGAGGCUACUUGGAGCAACUGCCCAGAGAGGGAUGUCCACAGAGCCCCAGACAGGCCAGUCUCCAGCUAUUCAAGUGUUCUCAGCCUGGGCACCAGACAUGUGGGUGGAGAAGCUGUUACAACGAUCAGCAUCUGCCUGUGGCCAUGGAAGGAACCCAAGCAAAAGCUUUCCAAGUGGUUCCAGUCAAUUAUUGUUGUUGCUAAGUCGUGUCUGAGUCUUUGCGACCCCAUGGACUGCAACACGCCAGACCUCCCUGUCCCUCACUAUCUCCCAGAGUUUGUUCAAGUUCAUGUCCGUUGAAUUGGUGAUAAUGAUGUCUAUUGAAUCCAGUCAAUACCAGAUCCAUUAAUUACAUAAUUACAGUUUUACUUUAAGCCACUCUUUUGGAAUGAUUUGUGAUAUAAUAAUAGUAACUGGAAAA